GGCAGUAUUGGCUGAGUGGUUAAAAGCUCUUGUUUAAUGAUUAGAAGGUCAGGAGUUCAAGCCCCAGCACCGCCG